CAAAACCCUAGCCCAUGUAAACGACUUCCUUAAUCCAACUGCCAUGAUCAUGAUCCUGAACUGUUGCCGCCCGUUUCUGUAAUUUAAGCAUCAAAUUAUGCACAGUUUUCCUUUCAAAUUAUUGAAUAAUUUGAAAGGAAAACCGUGCUUAAUCCUCUGGCUUCGGCAAACAUAGGCAAAGAAAAAUUUUAAAAAAAAUUCAGAGAUAUAUAUAUCUCACUUUAUUAUUCCAUGCAUGCAAUGGAUCAUCCAAUCCCAUUUCCAGGCAUGCUUCUUUGGGAUGCUCGCGGCGAAAACACUGGCUUUGAAACCCAAGACUACCCGCAAAAUUACUGAUGCAUCGACAAGAACUGCGGCCGAAAAGGAGCCUCCAAUUCCCAAGCAGAAGCGAGUGUUUGGUACCAUUCGAAGCACAAACAUUCAUGUCAAAACAGCAACCGAAAAUCCAAUUACCAAGCAACCCAAAUCUAUAACAAUAAGAGGAAAUCCUAGCAUAAAUGUCACAACCGAUCAAGUUGCCAAGAAACCAGAAAGAUUCAAGAAGAAAGUACAGAAGCCCGAGAAAAGGUUCGGCCGAGUCUUUUGGAGCCUAGGACUCCGGUGGCUUCACAUUCUAUGAUUGAGAACAAAGUUGCAGCAGGCACCCCUUAUCAUAGUGCAAAGUAUUGUAGCAAAUGCAGGUUUGAUAAGCUUGAAACUGCUUCUUGUUGGCUUGGUCAGAUCAAGUUGGCUGAAUCAGUCGGCAAACAUUUCGUCCCUAUUGCCUUAAUUCGUUUGCCUUCGAUUCCAAUGUUGGCUGAAUCAGUCGGCAAACAUCUCGUUUCUGUUGCCUUCUUUCGUCUUGCCUUCGAUUCCAAUGUUGGCAGUUAUCCCCCCCCCCCCCCCCCCCCCCAUCAUUUUCUUCUUCGAACUUCAUUAAUUUCUACUGCCUUGCUUGAUUUUAUUGUACUAAAAUUUGAAUAAUGUUUAUUUGUUAGCCCAUAAGGAACCUUCGUGCUGAGCUGAAACGAUACAUGGGACGACAUGGGUACCUGUCUUACGAGGCAGAGUGGAAAGAAGUCAGUCGCAGCUAUGGAAUUUUGAAGGAUGAAAGCAAUGUAGGAGGUGAAAGUUUAGAACUUGGAAAAGGGAAGACAACUUGUAGAUAAAGGGAGUGAUCAAGGAACAAAAAGCUGUUUAAAUUUGCAGGGACAUCAACCUUAAUUAGCAAUGCUUUGAUUUGAAAUUCUACAAACCAAGAGCAAGAAGAUGGGGUCCUCACUGGCUCCGUCAAAGGAGAUGGAAGUGGUGCUGGCUCUUGAAGUGCAGUCCAUUCGAGCGCCAGCAGCAGAGGUUUUGAUGGUAUCAAGGGAGAAAAAAAACUGCAAGCCAAGAACCAAUAGGUCAAGAGCUAAAAUGUUCAGCCUGGCCUUAAUUAUAAAAGAAAAGAAAAAAAAGAAACAGGGAGGAUAUGCAGUUUACAUAUUAAAUUUUAAAAAAAAAAUCCGAUAAUUAUCCUUGUGCUCAUCAAAAUUAUCUUCUCAUCAUAGUUACUGGCAUUUGUUAGCUUU